AUUGAACGCUGGCGGCAUGCCUUACACAUGCAAGUCGAACGGCAGCACGGGUGCUUGCACCUGGUGGCGAGUGGCGAACGGGUGAGUAAUACAUCGGAACGUACCUUAUUGUGGGGGAUAACGCAGCGAAAGCUGUGCUAAUACCGCAUAAUCCCUAAGGGGGAAAGCGGGGGACCGUAAGGCCUCGCGCAAUUAGAGCGGCCGAUACCUGAUUAGCUAGUUGGUGAGGUAAAGGCUCACCAAGGCAACGAUCAGUAGCUGGUCUGAGAGGACGAUCAGCCACACUGGGACUGAGACACGGCACAGACUCCUACGGGAGGCAGCAGUGGGGAAUUUUGGACAAUGGGGUCAACCCUGAUCCAGCAAUGCCGCGUGAGUGAAGAAGGCCUUCGGGUUGUAAAGCUCUUUUGUCAGGGAAGAAACAGCAGCUCUAACACAGUUUGCGAAUGACGGUACCUGAAGAAUAAGCACCGGCUAACUACGUGCCAGCCGCCGCGGUAA
rnacentral:rRNA from 1 species